UCAAACACUCACUCUUUGCAGAUGCUAUGAUACUUUAUGUGAAAAACCCAAAACACUGCCCCCCAACAUUGCUAGAAAUCAUACAGGAAUUCACCAAAGUCUCAGGAUACUAAAUCAAUGCA